rnacentral:misc_RNA from 1 species
UUAAGUUCAGCGGGUAGUCCUACCUGAUUUGAGAUCAAACGUUCAAAAAGCUGUCCUCGCCGAGGAGAGACUUCUGUGAGCUCCAGCGAACCUCCAUCACUGAAGGUUACAUGGCGGAAAACCACAAGCGUAGAUAGUUAUCACACCUGUGAUGCCGCCAAACACUGGCAAGCUGAUGCAUUUGAGAGGAGCCGACGCUA